UACGAAGGGGGCUAGCGUUGCUCGGAUUGACUGGGCGUAAAGGGCGCGUAGGCGGUUCGUACAGUCAGACGUGAAAUUCCUGGGCUCAACCUGGGGCUGGCGUUUGAUACGUGCGGACUUGAGUGCGGAAGAGGGUCGUGGAAUUCCCACGUGUAGAGGUGGAAAUUCGUAGAUAUUGGGAAGAACACCGGUGGCGAAGGCGGCGACCUGGUCCGAUACUGACGCUGAGGCGCGAAAGCGUGGGGAGCAAACAGG
rnacentral:rRNA from 1 species